rnacentral:lncRNA from 1 species
GUUUCUUUCAGGUUGGCUGGGAUACUGUAGACGCCUGAUUUCUGCAUGUGGGUCCUCUUCUCUUUAUCGUUUCUGGUGCUGUUAAAUACGGUGGGGGCCCUGCGUAUCGCCGGUUUCUUCCCUACUUUGUUUGGGACCAUCUUCGUUGUGUUCCGGCUGGCCACUUGUAUAGGCAUGGGCGCAUGUUUCUUGUCUUUGUCUUUAUUUUUGCCCUCUCUUGGAUUGUAUGGAUGUCUCUCGACUUUCCUCUGUGUUUGCUUCAUGGACCCGUGUCUGUGCCCGUGCUUUCUUCCUGCCUGGUGGAUGUGCCCUGGUUCCUUCCUCGGGUCUGGUUGGUCUGUCGUGUACAGAUGUGCUCGUCUGGGGUGCGUCUGCGGUGCCGCU